rnacentral:rRNA from 1 species
AACGAACGUUAGUGGCGCGCCUAACACAUGCAAGUCGAGCGAGAAAGGGAGCAAUCCCCGGUAAAGCGGCGCACGGGUGAGUAACACGUAGGUAAUCUACCUCCGAGUGGGGGAUAACCUUCCGAAAGGAGGGCUAAUACCGCAUGAGACCACACCUUCGAGAGGAGGAGGGGUCAAAGCCGGCCACUAUACAUAAGCUGGCGCUUGGAGAUGAGCCUGCGGCCCAUCAGCUAGUUGGUAGGGUAAUGGCCUACCAAGGCUAAGACGGGUAGCUGGUCUGAGAGGAUGAUCAGCCACACUGGAACUGAGACACGGUCCAGACUCCUACGGGAGGCAGCAGUGGGGAAUCUUGCGCAAUGGGCGAAAGCCUGACGCAGCGACGCCGCGUGAGUGAUGAAGGCCCUCGGGUUGUAAAGCUCUGUGGAGGGGGAAGAAUAAGGGUGACCUAAUACGUCAUCCGAUGACGGUACCCCUUUAGCAAGCACCGGCUAACUCUGUGCCAGCAGCCGCAGUAAUAC